rnacentral:tRNA from 1 species
UCCCUGGGGGUCCAGAGGUUAAGACUCUGUGCUUCCAUGGCAGAGGGCACAGGUUUGAUUCCUGGUUGGGGAA